rnacentral:lncRNA from 1 species
AAAACGAAUACCGUGUUGUAUAUAAAUUAUAUGUCAACCAAAAUUUUAUAACUUUUUAAAAGAGAGUGGGAAAUGAGGCACGCAGUCGCGACUACACUAAGAAUAAACUUUCAUUAGGCCCUGGCCUGACUCUGUUGGCACUGUUUGUUCUCCGCAGUAAGGACGUGUCCUCACUAAUGCCCCUUCCUCUCUGCACCUCGCUCCUGCCCAGGAGCUCGUCAGCCAGGAACUGGCAGUGAGACGUUUCUUCGAAUGUGCACACCAGAGUCCCCUUCCCACAACGAGGUCAGCCUGGACUUUGUACAGAAUGAAACUCAGGGAAGCUGCUUUAGCAAGAAAACAACACAGGAGCUGUCUCUCACCAAUCAAUCAAAACCGAUAGCGGAGUCUUCAGCGUGUUUUUUUUCUUCAUGACAUCCUCCGAAGCCGUUCUGGGUUAAAUCGGUUAGCUGACUUCUCCUUGAGGCCCACCGUCACCCACAUCCAGUCAGCACAAAGACUGAGACAAUAAACCCACUCCACAAAAGUUCCUGGAAUCCAGGCGUGUCAGAGUCAGACUGCUUGAAAUAUGCAGUUCCCCUCUGGAAGAUUUGUUCCUCAUGAACCCAUGCUUUACCAACUGUCAAUUGGAGAAGCAAAGGCAGGAGUCAAGACCGUGUUCUUAGCAUCUAUCUUCUGAGGAUACCGUGCCGCCGCACGAGGGAUUAAGGAUCCCAGGUCAUUUGCAACGGCAGUGUUUUAGUAUGACCCCCAAUGCCUACUUGCCAGAGAGCAGCAGCCCUUCACCAGGACCGACAAAUUAGAGACCGAGGCCUGCUGCUCCCGAAGCCCCGGCUUCCUGGUCAGAGGCCUCUGGUUACCAUCCGUGGCACUGCUGAGGGCCUGUUUAGAAACAACGAUGCUGUCUGGGCUGUGAGCUAUGGCACUAAACGUUUACGCAAAGAGACCUCACCCUUAUUUUCGGGACAUGUAAUAGCAUCAUGGGUGCCAUGGGCCUCAAAGUGAAGGGCCUCAGGACUCUGAUGAAGCCGACGGCAGGAUGUCCUGAACACCAGAGCGCUUAAUGGAAUCCGCAUGAAAAUUUCAUUUUCUCCACGUAAUGACUCCGUUCUAAAAUAUUCAAUGUUUUGUGAGUCUCAUUAAGGUGAAAUAAUUCUAUUCUAACUUGAGUCAUAGAUUUUCUACCUGCUUCUAUUCCUAAAGGCUUUUUGCAAUUCUCAUCAGAGUAUUUUUCUUUUUUUUUAAUGCAAAAUUGUCUUCUAUCCCACAGAAAGCUUUAAUCUGGUGAGGACAGUCUCUCUCCUGGCAACAUCCAGGAUACUAGAUGAACAGGGGUCAGCUGGGAAGUUUGAAGAGAAACCUUGGUAAUCUGCAAAACAAAGCUGGGAAUUCUCUAAAGAAUGUUUAGCAAAGAUACUACAGUUUGAAGUGAAUAGGAAGGGUUUUGUUCACAGGCUCUGCCUGGCUGCUGGAUUCAAAGAGUGUUCAGCCCCAGAAAAGAACAUCAAUGUCUUACUUGGAAAUUAAACACACACACAAAAGCCUUCUUUACUGCCCACGUUGAGUUUUGCUUGACUGUAGGAAGGUUCAUCACGCCUGAAAAUACGUAUCAUUGCCUCUGAUCCGAAGCAAGUGCUACAGAGGAACAAAGACACGUCUUCUGGCUUUGGGGAAACAAAUUGUCAAGGAAUUUGUUUCAGAAAGAUCUACAAAAGACCCAAAUGAUUCUGUAGAGGGAGACUUUGAAGUUUGGUCUGUGGAUUGUGAGUGGGGUCGCUGGCCCUCAUCCCCUAGACCAUGUUUGUGACCUCAGGCAAGGCACGUGAGCUUGUUGUACCUUUAUUACUGCAUUUGAACAUCAGGGAUAAUACUUGCUGCCUACUUACCCUCAAAGGGAUAUGCGAGGAUUAGCCAAUUAAAAUUUGCCAAAUGCCUGAAAAUCAAUGGAGGGAAAAAUCUAUAUGCCUAUAAAGUAUCAUUAUCAUUCCCCUCUGUCUACCUUUUCUCUCUCUCUUUUUUGCUAUCCUCGGAGACUUCAUGAGCAUUGCCUGAGGUUUUGCUUUUGGUUGCUAUAUCGCACAAUGACCAUCUCCUUUGAAUGAUUUGUUUGAAAUUGGUCCUUUCUAUACUAUCAGAGGGAGGUUUCCAACGCAAAGCAUCCUAGACUGACUGUCAAUAGGUCAUACCUGGCAAGGUUUCCUUUGGGUUUAUCUUCAGAGUCCCAUAGGGUGGAAAAAAUCAACCUAUUUAAGGUAUAAUACAAUAUAAUUUGGAAAAAUUCACCAAUUAGUGACUCAAAGCUGGUGAAGAAUAAAAAUAAAGUCACUUUAGAGCCCUGUUACA